UUGUGAUACUCUCUCUCCUUUGAAUAAUCUAGCAUGUUUAAAAGUAAUAUAACCUGGUUUAAAGUGCAUGGAAAUGUAAAGAUACAUCAUUGCUGAUGUUUCCUUGAGUUUGUCAUUGAGUUUCGUCAGAAAAACGGACAUUAUUGCUGUUAGAUCUGUCAGAGAUUUUCUCCUCAAUUGCAUAUUUCCUAACUCGCUGCAGGUGAAUGAGAGAGAGCCUGUUAACACUGUGUGUACUGAUCGUGCCCCGUGCUGCUCUUUAUAGGUAUGUUACCGUGUUAAAAUUGUUAUCUGUGAUAUAUUUUGUGUACUUUUAUGGAAGAACUGCACUGAAUGAGUAGCUUGAACUUGGAGGAAAAGAUCGGUUUUAUUUAUUGUGCACUUAUUUUUUUUCAUUUUGCAAAGAUGUUUAUGUUUAAUUCUAUGUGUAAAGUGAAGGAUAAAGACCUCUAGUAAAACAAGUUACAUUUUGUUUUAAUGGGUAUUAAUGUUACUCACUGGAUAUUUGCAAUUUCUUUUGUUUUUAAUGUAACUAUUAAUUUCAAAUACACAUGCAAAGGCAUACAUUCUUGUCACUGUGCACUUAUUUUAUUUGUAUUAUUUUGUGUAGUACAACAACAACAAAAAAGGCAGAACUUGGACAGCUUUUGUGCUGGUGAAUGAGAGAGAGCCUGUUAACACUGUGUGUACUGAUCGUGCCCCGUGCUGCUCUUUAUAGGUAUGUUACCGUGUUAAAAUUGUUAUCUGUGAUAUAUUUUGUGUACUUUUAUGGAAGAACUGCACUGAAUGAGUAGCUUGAACUUGGAGGAAAAGAUCGGUUUUAUUUAUUGUGCACUUAUUUUUUUUCAUUUUGCAAAGAUGUUUAUGUUUAAUUCUAUAUGUAAAGUGAAGGAUAAGACCUCUAGUAAAACAAGUUACAUUUUGUUUUAAUGGGUAUUAAUGUUACUCACUGGAUAUUUGAAAUUUCUUUUGUUUUUAAUGUAACUAUUAAUUUCAAAUACACAUGCAAAGGCAUGCAUUCUUGUCACUGUGCACUUAUUUUAUUUGUAUUAUUUUGUGUAGUACAACAACAAAAAA